ACCUAGUCGGCGGGAAGAACCUGCUUGUGUCUCCCGAAGCUCCCCUCGGAAACCCGCAGAUAGCGGGGCAGUUGAUGGAUGCUUGGAAGCUGGCGUGCUUUUUCGGAAAUGUUUUGCCACCUGAGGCCUUGGAGGAGGUUCUGCCUGAGGAAGGUCCUCCCUCCUUGGCUUCACUACUCUCGAGCUUUAUCAGGGGCAGAAGCCAUCAAUGCCUUGAGGCCUUUCUACUUUGCAGUUCAUCCUGAUUUCUUUGGACAGCACCCCAGGGAAAGGUGAAUGCAGGCCCAUAAAGUCUUCUCACUCUUCUGGCCGUUACCACGCAGCUCUGGCUCACCAAAACCUUGCCUUCUGCUGAGGACAGUCAAGGCUCCAAAUGCUUGUAGCAUCCUACUCCAAGUCCAGGAUUUCACACUGGCACCCACUGGUGUGGUUCUUUUCCUUUUGGUACUGUAAUUUUAAACUGUGGGCUAUUAAUAGAUUUCAAAAUUCACAGAUUAAAGUUCGCGUUAAAAUCUC
rnacentral:lncRNA from 1 species